rnacentral:rRNA from 1 species
GACGAACGCUGGCGGCGUGCCUAAUACAUGCAAGUCGAACGAACAGACCAGGAUCUCGCUCCUCUUACGUUAGCGACGGAUGGGUAAUUCACACGUGGACAACCUUUCUCUCUGACUGGGAUCACUUCGGGAAACUGUAGUUCAUACCGCUACAUAUAUUCAACUGCAUGGUUCAAUAGUGAAAGACGCUUUUGUUGUAUCUUCUAGAUGCAUCUACGCGGCUUUAGCGAGUUGGUAAGGUCACGGCUUACCACGGCAACAAUGCGUAGCCGACCUGAGAGCGUGAACGGCCACACUGGAACUGAGACACGGCACAGACUCCUACGGAAGGCAGCGGUAGGGAAUCGUCCGCGAUGGGCGAAAGCUUGACGGAGCGACGGCGGGUGAGUGAAGAAGGGCUUCGGGUCGGAAAACUCUGUUAUGAGUGAAGAACAAAUGUGUAAGUAACUAUGCAAGUAGUGACGGUACCUAAUCAGAAAGCCACGGCUAACUACGUG